GAUGAACGCUGGCGGCGUGCCUAAUACAUGCAAGUCGAGCGAAGCGCCUGCUUCUGAACUUUCGGGUGAAGAAACAGGCGACUGAGCGGCGGACGGGUGAGUAACACGUAGGUAACCUGCCUCACACAGGGGGAUAACAGUUAGAAAUGACUGCUAAUACCGCAUAAGCGCACAGGACCGCAUGGUCUGGUGUGAAAAGCUCCGGCGGUGUGAGAUGGACCUGCGUCUGAUUAGCCAGUUGGCGGGGUAAAGGCCCACCAAAGCGACGAUCAGGCGCCGGGCUGAGAGGGUGGACGGCCACAUUGGGACUGGGAAACGGCCCAGACGCCUACGGGAGGCAGCAGUAGGGAAUAUUGCACAAUGGGGGAAACCCUGAUGCAGCGACGCCGCGGGAGCGAAGAAGUAUCUCGGUAUGUAAAGCUCUAUCAGCAGGGAAGAAGAUGACGGUACCUGACUAAGAGGCACCGGCUAAAUACGUGCCAGCCGCCGCCGUAAAAC
rnacentral:rRNA from 1 species